rnacentral:rRNA from 1 species
CACGUGAGCAACCUGCCCUGGACUCUGGGAUAAGCGCUGGAAACGGCGUCUAAUACUGGAUAUGAGACGUGAUCGCAUGGUCGUGUUUGGAAAGAUUUUUCGGUCUGGGAUGGGCUCGCGGCCUAUCAGCUUGUUGGUGAGGUAAUGGCUCACCAAGGCGUCGACGGGUAGCCGGCCUGAGAGGGUGACCGGCCACACUGGGACUGAGACACGGCCCAGACUCCUACGGGAGGCAGCAGUGGGGAAUAUUGCACAAUGGGCGGAAGCCUGAUGCAGCAACGCCGCGUGAGGGAUGACGGCCUUCGGGUUGUAAACCUCUUUUAGCAGGGAAGAAGCGAAAGUGACGGUACCUGCAGAAAAAGCGCCGGCUAACUACGUGCCAGCAGCCGCGGUAAUACGUAGGGCGCAAGCGUUAUCCGGAAUUAUUGGGCGUAAAGAGCUCGUAGGCGGUUUGUCGCGUCUGCUGUGAAAUCCCGAGGCUCAACCUCGGGCCUGCAGUGGGUACGGGCAGACUAGAGUGCGGUAGGGGAGAUUGGAAUUCCUGGUGUAGCGGUGGAAUGCGCAGAUAUCAGGAGGAACACCGAUGGCGAAGGCAGAUCUCUGGGCCGUAACUGACGCUGAGGAGCGAAAGGGUGGGGAGCAAACAGGCUUAGAUACCCUGGUAGUCCACCCCGUAAACGUUGGGAACUAGUUGUGGGGACCAUUCCACGGUUUCCGUGACGCAGCUAACGCAUUAAGUUCCCCGCCUGGGGAGUACGGCCGCAAGGCUAAAACUCAAAGGAAUUGACGGGGACCCGCACAAGCGGCGGAGCAUGCGGAUUAAUUCGAUGCAACGCGAAGAACCUUACCAAGGCUUGACAUAUACGAGAACGGGCCAGAAAUGGUCAACUCUUUGGACACUCGUAAACAGGUGGUGCAUGGUUGUCGUCAGCUCGUGUCGUGAGAUGUUGGGUUAAGUCCCGCAACGAGCGCAACCCUCGUUCUAUGUUGCCAGCACGUAAUGGUGGGAACUCAUGGGAUACUGCCGGGGUCAACUCGGAGGAAGGUGGGGAUGACGUCAAAUCAUCAUGCCCCUUAUGUCUUGGGCUUCACGCAUGCUACAAUGGCCGGUACAAAGGGCUGCAAUACCGUAAGGUGGAGCGAAUCCCAAAAAGCCGGUCCCAGUUCGGAUUGAGGUCUGCAACUCGACCUCAUGAAGUCGGAGUCGCUAGUAAUCGCAGAUCAGCAACGCUGCGGUGAAUACGUUCCCGGGUCUUGUACACACCGCCCGUCAAGUCAUGAAAGUC